CAGUAGCCACGGUAAUACGUAGGUGGCAAGCGUUGUCCGGAAUUAUUGGGCGUAAAGCGCGCGCAGGUGGUUUAAUAAGUCUGAUGUGAAAGCCCACGGCUCAACCGUGGAGGGUCAUUGGAAACUGUUAAACUUGAGUGCAGGAGAGAAGAGUGGAAUUCCUAGUGUAGCGGUGAAAUGCGUAGAGAUUAGGAGGAACACCAGUGGCGAAGGCGGCUUUUUGGCCUGUAACUGACACUGAGGCGCGAAAGCGUGGGGAGCAAACAGGAUUAGAGACCCCAGUAGUCCCUGUCUCUUAUAC
rnacentral:rRNA from 1 species